rnacentral:rRNA from 1 species
GCGGUCGGACGGGUAGAUAAUUGUCAGGGAAACUAGCCUGAUGGAGGGGGAUAACUACUGGAAACGGUAGCUAAUACCGCAUAACGUCGCAAGACCAAAGAGGGGGACCUUCGGGCCUCUUGCCAUCAGAUGUGCCCAGAUGGGAUUAGCUAGUAGGUGGGGUAACGGUCACCUAGGCGACGAUCCCUAGCUGGUCUGAGAGGAUGACCAGCAACUGGAACUGAGGCACGGUCCAGACUCCUACGGGAGGCAGCAGUGGGGAAUAUUGCACAAUGGGCGCAAGCCUGAUGCAGCCAUGCCGCGUGUAUGAAGAAGGCCUUCGGGUUGUAAAGUACUUUCAGCGGGGAGGAAGGUGUGUGGUUAAUAACAAGCAAUCUGACGUUACCCGCAGAAGAAGCACCAGGCUAACUACCUGUGCCAGCAGCCGCGGUAAUACGGAGGGUCGCAAAGUGUCAAUCAGGAAUUAACUNAGGNGCCACUAACAGGGCAGCACANGCAGAGCAGGNACUGCACAAGCNCCGGAGAAUAGUCGACAAAAUGACCCCCCGGAGNGGCNUACAAAACCCNAGAGGGAAAAACUUGGAACAUUUCCGGAAAAAC